AAGAUUAUGAAGACAUUUAUUCAAGUCAAAGUUUGAUUUAUUAGUGUAAUGAGAUAAACCAAGAGGAAUACUUCUUCCGGGCAGGUGUUUACAUGCAAUCUGAAGAAAUGUCCCAGAAUAUUUUCAAAAUAUUUUAACAUAGUUUUCUCAGUUUAAAAGUAAAGAUUUUUUUUUAAAAAAAAACAAACCCAUGGCCUACCACACUGGCUACUGUACGCUUUUAAAAGGUGAUGAAAGAUACAAGACAUUAAGAAACAGUUACAUCACCCACGCUGUCACCACCCUAAAACGACCUGAUUGAGCCUUUGUCUCUCUGUUUGUCUCCUUCUCUGUACUGGCAGACGUUGUUGGUUCUGGGCCCACCUCUUUUUCGGGGGCGCUGGUAAACGACAACCAGUCUGAGAAGAAACCCACUCCUGCAGGCGACUAGCUUGAGAAGCGGGCUUGUGGCUUGUUGCUGCUUAAUGGCAUAUGAUGGAAACUUUGCCGGGGGGCUUCUGGAAAGCCUUCUGUGCUCUGAUAACGAUGUAAGCAGGGUAGGAACAAAACACGCGCCGACUCUGGACUCGGGUGUGUGAGGGGGUCCUUCUUGAAGCUGCUGGCGUGGGAGGCUGGCCGACACGCUGAUGGAGCCAACGUCAGAAAAGGCGAGGUGAUCGUGGCUCAUAGAUCUUGUUCCAAAGCCACCUAAUCAACUGUUCCUGGAGCCGCCCUGCCUCCAAACAUCCUGUUCUAUGAGAUGAUGCAUCCCCUUUGUGUUUAAGCCACCCUUAUUUACAAUAGUUGUUACUGGCAUCCAAAACCACCUUAACUGCCUCAAUAUACAGAACUGUAUAAAUACACUUUGUGAAGUUUAUUCUCUCAUCCAACAAAUGAUCAAUGAAGACGAGCCAGACUAGAGUCUUUCUGUAGACACAUCUUGGCUCUGCUUUUUUCCAUAUAACAUUUUCUCUAGUCGUUACAAAUUCUUUGCAUGUGUAAUUUUUAAAAAUUUAUUUACUUUUUAAUUGAAGGAUAAUAGCUUUACAGAAUUUUGUUGUUUUCUGUCAAACCUCAACACGAAUCAGUCCAUGUAAUUUUUAAAUUGAGGUAUAGUCGAUACACAAUAUAAGUUACAGGUGUACAGUACAGUGAUUCUCAAUUUUUAUAGGCUAGACUCCAUUAUAGCUACCGUAGAAUAUUGCCUGUAUUCCCUACGUAUGUAUCCUUCUAGCUCAUUUUGUACAUAAUGUAUGUCUAUAUCCUAUGUAUAUUUUAAAUUUCAUUUUAUUGAAGGGCAGUUGUUUGUGAUGUGUUGGUUUCGGCUGCGUAGCGUAGCGUAGCGACUCAGUUACACGUGUGUGGGUGUGUAUUCUCUUCGUAUUUUCCACUAUGGUCUAUUUCAGGGUGCCGAGCAGUCUCCUGAGCUGUGCGGUAGGACCCUUGUUGCCCCAUUCUGCGUACACCACUUGGCGUCUGCUGACCCACACUCACUGCAUCCCUCCCGCACCCCCUCCCCCUUGACAACCCCCAGUCUGUUCCCUACGAGUCUGUUCCCUACGGGCCUGUUCCCUACGAGCCUGUUCCCUACGAGCCUGUUCCCUACGAGCCUGUUCCCUACGAGUCUGUUCCCUACGGGCCUGUUCCCUACGAGCCUGUUCCCUACGAGUCUGUUCCCUACGAGUCUGUUCCCUACGGGCCUGUUCCCUACGGGCCUGUUCCCUACGAGCCUGUUCCCUACGAGUCUGUUCCCUACGGGCCUGUUCCCUAUGAGUCUGUUCCCUACGAGUCUGUUCCCUACGGGCCUGUUCCCUACGAGCCUGUUCCCUACGAGUCUGUUCCCUACGGGCCUGUUCCCUACGAGCCUGUUCCCUACGAGUCUGUUCCCUACGAGUCUGUUCCCUACGGGCCUGUUCCCUACGAGUCUGUUCCCUACGGGCCUGUUCCCUACGAGUCUGUUCCCUACGAGUCUGUUCCCUAUGGGCCUGUUCCCUAUGAGUCUGCUCCCUACGGGCCUGUUCCCUACGAGUCUGUUCCCUACGAGUCUGUUCCCUACGAGUCUGUUCCCUAUGGGUCUGUUCCCUGCUGCUUUCACAGGUGAACUCGCUGGCGUCAUGCUUCAGGUUUCACACAUGAGUGAUGUCGCAUGCUAUUUGAGUUUCUCUUCCUGAUUUUCUCCCCUCGGUAUGAUCAUCUCUGGGUCUAUCCACGUUGCUGCAGGUAACAUUAUUUCAUUGUUUGGACGGCUGACUAGUUUUCUACUGUUCAUAUGGGCCCAUCUUCUUUACCCACUCAUCCGUUGAGGGACGUUUAGGUUGUGAACUGUGGACAGUGCUGCCGUGAACUCAGGCGUGCAGGCACCUUUCCAGACCACAGUUAGCCCAGAGACUUGCCCAGGAGUGGGCCUGCUGGGCCACACGCCAGCUCCGUUUUCAGUUUCCUGAGGAACCUCCGUGCUGUUUUCCCGAGUCUGUUGGCCAUCUGUAUGUUUUCUUUGGAGGAAUGUCUACUUAUUUCUUCUGCCCAUGUUUCAACUGGGUUGUUUUUUUAUUAUUGAAUUGUAUGAGCUGUUUGUAUAUCUUGGAAACUAAGCCCCUGUCGGUCACAUCAUUUGUGAUAUUUCCUCUUAGACUAUAGACGGUUGUUUCAUUUUGUUUAUGGUUUCCUUUGCUGUGCAAAAGCUUAUCAAUUUGAUGAGGUCCCAUUUGUUUAUUUUGCUUUUAUUUUUAUUGCCUUGGGAGACUGACCUAAGAAAACAUUGCUACCAUUUAUGUCAGAGAAUGUCUGCCUGCUCUCUCUCUUAGGAGCUUUAUGGUGUCAUGUCUCGUAUUUGAAUCUUAAGCCGUUCUGAGUUUGUUUUGUGUGUGGUGUGAGAAUGUUCUAACUUCACUGGUUCACACGCAGCAGUCGAGUGUCCCAGCACCACUUGCUGAAGAAGCUGUAUUCUCUGCAUUGUGUGUUCUGGCCUCAUUUAUCGAAAAUUAACUGGCCAUAGCUGUGUUUGGGUUUAUUUCUGGCUUUCUGUUCUGCCCCGCUGGUCCACGUGUCUGUUUUGGGGCAAGGACCACUCUGUUCGAUUUCUGGAGCUUUGCAGUAUUGUCUGAAGUCUGGGAGGGUUUGGCAUCCUGCUUCUUUCUUUUUCCUCAGGACCGCUUUGGCAAUUCCCGGUCUCUGGUGGUCUCAUAUAGAUUUUAGCAUUACGUGUUCCGGUUCUGUUGCGUAUAUGUAAUUCCAGUGGCUUCAGCUAAAUGGCUACUUUUACUUAGCUGCUGCCCUAUUAUCUGCCAUUCAGGUUGCUAAAGAUUCUCAUUGUUAAAAGUAAAGGCAGGUGACAUCAGUGUACACACGUAAGUCGUCACAUUUCUGAUAGUUUUGAAGAUAUAGUCCUUAAAAAUUAUAAACAAAAAGAUAUAAAUACUUCUAAGAUGUCUGAUAUAUAUUCUCAGAUUGCUGUCUAGACAAUGUAUGCUGAUCUGCAGGCCUCCACACAGUGUUUGCUAUUUGCUACUGCAUGUGAGGGCACUCUCAUGAUACACAUUUUUCCCCAAAUGUUUCCAGAAAAAAUUAUGAUGAAAGCCUACAGGACACAUUUGAUCAACAACUCAGUGGCAUAAAGAAAGAAAAAUGGGAAGGGAGACUGAACAAAGGAAAGAGGCGUGGAAGAUACGCUUCAUGGACCUCGUUAGGAUCCUGAUUCCUACAGGUGAUCUGUACAGUCUGGAGACUGGAAUAUGGACUGGGUAUUAUUUCCUGUUAAGAAGCUGGUGUUAAUCUCAUUAGGUGUGAUAACGAGGUAGUGGUUACAUCGGGAAAAUAAAGUGCUUGUCAGUUACAGAGGCAUCAUUAUUAAUGGAUAAGAUGGCAUGCUGUCUCGGGUUUAUCAAUACUUUAAAAAUCUCCAGCAGGUAAAGGGGGUGGGGUGGGAUAGGGAAAACAUGAUUGGCAAGAUGUUGACAGCUGCUGAAACCAGGAACUGUGAGUUUAUUGUGUUCUCUCUACCUUUGUGUGUAUUUGAAAAGCAUAAUGCGAAACUUUUCUAUUUUUCGCCUUAAUUUUUUAAGAGAAUAUUUAGACAGUAUGUGCUCGAGGGCCGGGAGUGGCAGGUCUUGCUCUGUCCUCGUGGUCCAGGUGAGGGGCUCUAUGGGGGUGGUGGGCCCCUGGCCAGGCCUGCCGCUUCCUUCCUGACCCCAGGGACACACCCAGGAUCAGGAGCCACCCUGAGGUUGCAAUCACAUCAGAAGCAGAUCUGGAAUAGUCAAGGGGGCCAGAUGGAAGCAGACCACCAGGCGAGCCCCUGCCUCGGCCUCCAGACCACACCGUGCCCACGACCCCCGAUCAGCUGGGCCAUGCGCUCCCAGACUCGGGGGCUGGACACAAGCCCCGUGACCUCAGACCUGAAGCUCAGGGACAAAACGGUAUGCUGAAAAGCACGCCGUCUGACAGUCAGCGUCAUGGGUGUGUAUGAAACACGGGGGGACCAAACGCAUGGGGUGCAGCGGGGUUUUAGCUCCGACUGGACGGCGUCGCAUGCUGGGAGCGGCACCCGCGCGCUCCCGUUGUGCGUCUGAGUCAGGGAGGACGGCGGGUGUCCGCGUCCGACGCCGGCCGCUCCCGACCGUGUCGGCUUCGGCAGCCCCUCGCGCGGGUGUGCGUGUGGCGCGCGGGGCGGCGGGCGCUCGGCUCGUCUCCCUCCGCUUCUACUUUCAGCGCGUGCGGCCGCGCCUGGGCUCUCCCCACGCUGCAGUCAGGCGGGAGGCCGCGGGCCUGGAGACCAGACAGCCCUCGGUGCUAACUUGGCUUCACCGCUGGGAGUGGCGUGGGGAUGAGGAGUCAGUGAACCGGGCAGAGAGCAGGCUUCUGAUAACGCCUGUGCCCGUUUCCCCACCGAGGAGGACCUUGAGGCUUAUUAUUUCCAAUCCAAGGCAUUGGUAAUGCCCAGUAACAGGGGACUCAAAAGAGUGGAGACUUGCUGUGAAAAUGCCUGCUUAUUCGCUGACACACUUUUAAGCUCUGAGAGCAGUCCGAGCUAUGGAAACACCUCUAACUGCAAACACUGGGAAGCGGUCUCCGGUGGCUUCUGUGAACACCACCACUUGUCCUGUCUUCUGUUACUUUUGCUGAUUAAAAAGAGGGCAGUGCUCAAGAAAAUUCAGUAGGUAAUCAACAGUCAUGGAUUAUCCCUUCUUUGAUAAAACUGAAUGUUUUAAAACCAGCCAAACGAGAAAGAAUCUAGAGAUUUUAAGUUCCUGGAACAACUGGCGGGAAGAGAUGAUGCGGCUUGCGUAUGCACGUGUCUUACUCAGCCAUGAAGAGGAGCGGAAAAGGAACGCCACUGGCAGCGAUGUGGGCGGAC
ensembl:lncRNA